CACGCCGUAAACGGUGGGCGCUAGGUGUGGGCCUCAUUCCACGAGGUCUGUGCCGCAGCUAACGCAUUAAGCGCCCCGCCUGGGGAGUACGGCCGCAAGGCUAAAACUCAAAGGAAUUGACGGGGGCCCGCACAAGCGGCGGAGCAUGUGGCUUAAUUCGAUGCAACGCGAAGAACCUUACCUAGGCUUGACAUGCAAGGAAAUCUCCCAGAGAUGGGAGGUCCGCAAGGGCUUUGCACAGGUGG
rnacentral:rRNA from 1 species